CCACUUCUCCCAGUGCCUCUGGCGAUUUCCAAGUGGGAUCUGCGACUUCAGGGCUCUGGCCAAGCCCGCAGGCUGGCGUGAUUAGUUGCCGUUGAAGGGGGCUCCGCCAAUGAAAUCUUCUCUGCGCUCUGAUUUGGCGGUUCUUCGGUGCAAAUAUGACAGCUUUCUCUCUCAGCUCUUUUCUGCAUCUCUCCAUGUCCGACCCCGGAGCCCAGUUCUCGGUCUGCAAUUUCUACACCACAACCUUUGCAAUCACCACCACCACCACCCCUAGGUCCCAUGUCAGCAGGUGCCAGGUUGCUACAAAGGUGACAGGGCACAUUGGGAAGAAGGCUUGUUGAUUGCAGAAGAUACUUAUGCCCCGUGUUUCCAGUGCUAUGAAGUGCAAUGAGCUGGCCUGAGACUGUCAGAUGGAUUCUCCAGGGAAAGUGUUUUCCAGGAGCUUGCCAUGAACUGGAUUUAAGGUAUUGGGAGAUAAACAGAAGAAAGGGCUUUCAGAGAACUUCCAUGAAGUGUUGGCCAAUAGUUUACCUUACCCUCACCAGGGCUCCGAAGACGGUGUGUGCACAGACUGGCAUUGAGUCCAUGGUUGAAGGCUACAGAGGCUGGAGACUCGUGUCACCAGACAAUUGCUGCAACAGGAAUGGAGGUUCGCUGAGAAACACAUGUGAAGGUUUCAGUCUUUGGAGUUUUCCCAGCUUACGGAAUGAUUGAGGCACUUCAUAGCAGCAACUUGGACUAUAUUCAAUGAGAAAAAAGAGUGGUCAUCUUUCAACACCAUGUACAUAUGUUUAAUUUGAAAUUAUAGAAGGGAAUAUAGCAAGGAGAGUCAACAAGGGUUUGAUUUUUUUUAAAUUCAGUAUAUUGAAGUUUAUCAAUAGUUAUUAAGCAUAAACACUUACAUGUUCAUGAAUAUAUAUAAAGUUAAUAUUGAAUUUUGAAUUUGUUGGGUAUUCAUUCAACUAGGUAUGUAACCAGUUGGUACUCCUUCCCCUAAAGAUUUACAUUCCAAAGUAAUAGUAAAAUUGAUCUCUUGUUGCAAACGGUAUUCACCCUCAUUUUACCCAAUAGCAAAUUUCAGAGAUGUUUGUUAAUCGCAAUGCUAGAGCAAACAAAAAUUUAAGGUAUAAUCUCCUUUAUAAACAUAAUAAGCUACUUCAGGGGUUCACGAGAAACCAAUUUUGCAACAGAUGUUAGCUUAUAAUGUUCUAAUUUUAAAUGGUGUUUGUUUAAUUCUUGGGGGAAAAUAUAUCAAUUAUCAUCCAUGGGGAGGAAAUAUAUCUCUCUUCUAGAACAAACUCUUGAAAAAAACUGCUUUUCGUGUAAAGUCUUAAAGUGUUUUAAUUCUGCUUUUCACUGUUAGUGGUUUGAGUUGUGAGGUAGCAGUAAUAGAAGGGAGAAGGGAGUCUAAGGCAGAUAAGUCUGAAGCCUACUUUUGUUAUAGCUUAAACUUCAAAAAAAAAGAAGAAAUAACUUCUCCAAGUUGUUUAUAUUUAUUUAUUUUUUAAGUGGAGGCAACAAUUGCUAGCUACCUAAUUACUAGUCCUCUGAGUUAUUUAAUCAAAGUAGUGAAUAUAAACUUCAUAAUAAGAGUCUGUAACACUUUCUGUUCACUGAGUGCUAGCUUCCAUGUCUAUCCAACAUCUGUGAGACUUUAUCUUAAAAUGUAAAUGUGAACAUUACUCAUAUUUCAAUCUUGUGAGGUUUAAUGAUGCACGCUAGCUCUGGUUUCUUUUUUAUGUCAGCAUAACAAAAUAUGCAACAAAAAUAGAUUCUCCUUCCUUAUGUGCAUGUAGGUUUCCAUUUGCUAUUGCCAAUUGGAAAGAAGAAAGGGUGUGUCUAUUUGGAAGAUAAGAGCUGGCGGGAAAUUGCAUAAUUAUCUAGCCAUUCUGAAACAUCUCAGUGGGUAUUUGUCAGUUCCUACAGACUGUCCAAAGGCAUAAUGGCAUAAUGAACAUUUCUACUAAGUAAGGAAAUUUAUAACUCUAACAUAUUUGAAAAUGACAAAGAGAAUCAAAGAAAUGUAAGCAAAUGCCACCAGUGCAUUUGGCUCUACUCUAAACUUCCCCUUGAUGCACACAGAGAGAGAUGAUGGGUGCUGCCCAACAUCUUCUGUAAUUCAGUUUAUUUUAUGCCAUUCUUCUUGGUGUUUUCCUAUAAGGUCACCAUCAUUUUGCCAAGAUAGACCAAGUAGAGAAUGGUGAGCAGGAAAAAUUGUGAGUCCGGUGGCAAUCAUUUAGAGUUUAUUGCAGAAAUGCUGUAUGGGAAAAUGUACACACACAACACACACACACACACACACACACACACACACACACACACACACACACACACCAAAUGAAAAUGAGAUGUAAUAGAAUACAAAUGCAGGUUCAAAGUCUUUGGAUUCAUAGAUUCAUGAAUAUGGUAGAUUUUGUUGUUGUUUGUUGGUUUUGAAUUUUUGCUUUUUGUAUUUUCUGAAACUGAGUUUAUCCUAUAAUUUUUGAAAAUGAGGGGAUCUUUCAAGGCCCAGUUGUCCAUGAUCCGAGAAACUAAGAUAUCAGACACUUGCCGUCAUCAGAGAUCAACCAUGGACAAUGAUUUUGAGUUUCUUGUCUCACACGAGUGUUCAUGGAGUUAUGAAAAUCGGAGCAGGCUUUAUUAAGAAUUAUUUAAGAGGGGGCUGGAGAGAUGGCUCAUCAGUUAAAAGCACUGACUGCUCUUCCAGAAGUCCUGAGUUCAAUUCCCAUCAACCACAUGGUGGUUCACAACCAUCUGUAAUGGGAUCCGAUGCACUCUUUUGGUGUGUCUGAAGACAGCUACAGUGUACUCACAUACAUAAAAUAAAUAAAUAAAUCUUAAAAAAAUAAUUAUUAAAGAAAUUGAGAUACUGAGAAGGGAGAGAAGCUCCCAAGAGUGAAUCUUAAAGUGGUUUUCAGAUUGGUUUUUGUUAACAUACCUGCCUCUACUUCUGAUAACUAUUAUUAUCCUACAAGAGGGCCAAUGGAUGUUAGUAUAUUAAGCAUGUAAGUGCUUAAAUUUAUUUUCAUUUUGUUGAACUAUCUUUCUGUGCAUUUUCAUGGAAGUUAAAAAAUACAAAUAAAUAUUUUGGUUAAAUAUCCUU
ensembl:lincRNA